rnacentral:rRNA from 2 species
UGCAAGUCGAGCGAAUCUGAGGGAGCUUGCUCCCAAAGAUUAGCGGCGGACGGGUGAGUAACACGUGGGCAACCUGCCUGUAAGACUGGGAUAACUUCGGGAAACCGGAGCUAAUACCGGAUAAUCCCUUUCCUCACAUGAGGAAAGGCUGAAAGACGGCUUUAGCUGUCACUUGCAGAUGGGCCCGCGGCGCAUUAGCUAGUUGGUGAGGUAACGGCUCACCAAGGCGACGAUGCGUAGCCGACCUGAGAGGGUGAUCGGCCACACUGGGACUGAGACACGGCCCAGACUCCUACGGGAGGCAGCAGUAGGGAAUCUUCCGCAAUGGACGAAAGUCUGACGGAGCAACGCCGCGUGAGUGAUGAAGGUUUUCGGAUCGUAAAACUCUGUUGUUAGGGAAGAACAAGUACCGGAGUAACUGCCGGUGCCUUGACGGUACCUAACCAGAAAGCCACGGCUAACUACGUGCCAGCAGCCGCGGUAAUACGUAGGUGGCAAGCGUUGUCCGGAAUUAUUGGGCGUAAAGCGCGCGCAGGUGGUUCCUUAAGUCUGAUGUGAAAGCCCACGGCUCAACCGUGGAGGGUCAUUGGAAACUGGGGAACUUGAGUGCAGAAGAGGAAAGUGGAAUUCCAAGUGUAGCGGUGAAAUGCGUAGAGAUUUGGAGGAACACCAGUGGCGAAGGCGACUUUCUGGUCUGUAACUGACACUGAGGCGCGAAAGCGUGGGGAGCGAACAGGAUUAGAUACCCUGGUAGUCCACGCCGUAAACGAUGAGUGCUAAGUGUUAGAGGGUUUCCGCCCUUUAGUGCUGCAGCAAACGCAUUAAGCACUCCGCCUGGGGAGUACGACCGCAAGGUUGAAACUCAAAGGAAUUGACGGGGGCCCGCACAAGCGGUGGAGCAUGUGGUUUAAUUCGAAGCAACGCGAAGAACCUUACCAGGUCUUGACAUCCUCUGACAAUCCUAGAGAUAGGACUUUCCUCUUCGGGGGGACAGAGUGACAGG